rnacentral:rRNA from 1 species
CCUACGGGGCGCAGCAGUGGGGAAUAUUGGGCAAUGGGCGCAAGCCUGACCCAGCAACGCCGCGUGAAGGAAGAAGGCUUUCGGGUUGUAAACUUCUUUUAAGAGGGAAGAGCAGAAGACGGUACCUCUUGAAUAAGCCACGGCUAACUACGUGCCAGCAGCCGCGGUAAUACGUAGGUGGCAAGAGUUGUCCGGAUUUAUUGGGUUUAAAGGGUGCGCAGGCGGCGAGUUAAGUCAGCGGUAAAAUUUCGGGGCUCAACCCCGACGAGCCGUUGCAACUGGCUUGCUAGAGUG